GAUGAACGCUGGCGGCGUGCCUAAUACAUGCAAGUCGAGCGAACAGAUAAGGAGCUUGCUCCUUUGACGUUAGCGGCGGACGGGUGAGUAACACGUGGAUAACCUACCUAUAAGACUGGGAUAACUUCGGGAAACCGGAGCUAAUACCGGAUAACAUAUUGAACCGCAUGGUUCAAUAGUGAAAGGCGGCUUUGCUGUCACUUAUAGAUGGAUCCGCGCCGUAUUAGCUAGUUGGUAAGGUAACGGCUUACCAAGGCAACGAUACGUAGCCGACCUGAGAGGGUGAUCGGCCACACUGGAACUGAGACACGGUCCAGACUCCUACGGGAGGCAGCAGUAGGGAAUCUUCCGCAAUGGGCGAAAGCCUGACGGAGCAACGCCGCGUGAGUGAUGAAGGUCUUCGGAUCGUAAAACUCUGUUAUCAGGGAAGAACAAAUGUGUAAGUAACUGUGCACAUCUUGACGGUGCCUGAUCAGAAAGCCACGGCUAACUACGUG
rnacentral:rRNA from 1 species